UCUUUUCACCUUUUCUGAAAACAUUGUUAAGCGGAAUAGUGAGCGCUUCCACGCCGUUUAUUUUUGGAAGCGUCUCUCCUUUGCAGCAACGCGCCAGACCCGGGAUCUGCAUUCACGUGCAGAUUUCACGUAAGAACGAACGUGCCUGGGAAACUGGAAGCUGCUACUUUACAGAACCGUAGCAUGGCUUCUACGACGUCUCAAAAGAAAACAUAACCCAAAAAAAGAAAAAUUACAAAUGAAGGAAGAUUGUUUAACGAAAAGUGGACAGAUGACUAUUUUUUUGUCGAGGCAAAUGGCAUGAAGCAUGGAAAGAUGGUUUCCUAAAUUGCAUGGGAUGAAACAACCAGGUUUCAAGAAAGCAGAUGGACUAACUGGAUAAAUCUAACAAUUUUAAUCAAGCAAUAUUAAGGUUCCCUGUCACAAGCAGCAAAACUCUUAUAUGCGCAGAAAUGGAAGGACCCACAAAUACCUACAAUUGAAGAAU